rnacentral:lncRNA from 1 species
CUUGGCUUCUUGUUUUAUAAAACACUAGAGUCUAUGAUGAACAAAAGCCCAGAGGUUAAAUAUUAUCACUUGUAACUUUAAAUACAAAGCACUAAACACACUUAAAGUCACCUGUAAUGAUAUUUAACUCUUGGUUUCUUGUUAAGUAUAUAGCGUAUGAAAACUGAUUAAACAAGAUAUAUUAUAUCUUAUAUUUAUUUAUUUCUCUCUAUGAAAUAAUCGUAAGCUCAGCCCCCUUCUGUCAUUACUAAUGUCAGUCUCAUUCUGAUGGACAGUUUAUAAAGAGCAGGAGACUUCACUCUUCUCACAGUCAUGGACUUCUCUGCACAGGAAUAAAAUCAGAGUAUCCAGAACCAUGGGUGCCCAGGUUUCAGUCGUCAAUCAGACUCCUUACACCUGGUACUUUGCCACUCAAGACAGAGGGUAUACAUACAUCGGUCCUGGCAGCACAACAUCCUAUAAAGAGUCUCUGGCAAUCCAUCGCUACAUCCACAUCAGAUAUGAAAAUCACUCGUGGAAUAGUUUUUCAUACGAGUUUAACACCCAUAAAGGUGACACAUCUUUUAUCCUAAGAGAAACCUACGACCGUUCCCAGAUUCAGUUGCACUGCACCUCUGAAGGCGGCACUCAUUACUGUCCCAACUACGGAAAAAUUAAAGAAGAUGAAAACCGGAGACAGCAGCAAGAGGAGGAGAGAAGACGUCAGGAACGACAAAUCGAAGAAGAUAACAAACGGAGACAGCAAGAAGAGGAGAGAAGACGUCUGGAACGUUUGGAACGUGAACAAAGGAUUCAACAGGAGCUGGACAGAGAGAGUGAACUGUCCAGACGCAAGCUUUCUCGAGCAACUGAGCGGCUUCGUGAAAAACAGAGCUUCAGAGGUCAUGAGAAACAUCAUGAACGUAUACAAGUUCUCCAACAGCAAAUAGAAGAUGAUGCUGCUGCGAUCGAGAGGAACGAGAUCCAGACAAACUUUGAGUCGUACACCCCCCUGCUUAUUCUCCAGAGAGGAUACGACUUCUGUCACAAAAAUCCCAGUAAAUACAGCAUAACUGGAGGAAGUAUAAAGAAGACCGACGUUGCUCUGCAGAAAUACUUACAGAGUGUUAAAUUCAUCAGAAGUGGCGAACAAGUCCUCAUCAAAAUGUACCAUCUUGGAUUUGUUGGUGAAUAUAAAAGUGUUGUAAGUGCUCGGAGGUCCAGUAAGAACACCACAGGGACACUUAACACAAGCCACAUUCCACCGAAGGACUCCAUCAGACUUGCUGCGUCUGUCAUAGAUAACCCAAACUCAGUGAGGGAGCUUAAAAAUAAAAACCUGCCGCUUUAUAAACUAAUCAGCAGCAUGAAGACUGACAAUCAACAGCAUAAAGACUGA